GCCGCUGUGGUGAAAUUGGCAGACACAAGGGACUUAAAAUCCCUCGGUAGCAAUACCGUGCCGGUCCGAGUCCGGCCAGCGGCACCA
rnacentral:tRNA from 1 species